rnacentral:lncRNA from 1 species
UCUGUCUAGAACCAGCAGUGCAGGCUCCCAAAUUUAUAGCAUCUUUGGUCUGCAGGUCUCCAUUGCAUAUGUAUGUGCUUGAGAAUCCAUGUGUCUUUCAAUCAUGAGGUUUAAAAUGGGCUCUGAAAAGUUGCUACCAUCUUGUUGAGGGCUGCUCUCAAGUUGCCUCCAGGACAUCAGGAAAUAAAUAAUUAAGGGGCAGUCCCCUGAGCUACUGCUGCUGUGGUGUAGCGGUGGGACAUGCCGGUGAUGUUGCAAUGACUGACGGCAGAAAUUGAUGUGCCAGACAGACCCUAAUCAAAUCCUGACACCCUCCCCAGCCCAGGAAGAGAUGAUAACCUUUUCUAUUUCAGCAAAAAGGUAGGCCAAGAGGCAGAAGAGAAGUCUUCAGGAUAGAGAAUGACAGAGCAGUGCAGCAGCCAGGUAACCGAGGAAAAGGGCAGCCUGCAUGCUACAGCGCGUAUCACCCAAAG